UCUCAGACUCUCGAGCGCCGGCCCCAGGAUGACAAUCGCAUCCCGGGAGCGCCGAGCCCUUCCAACUUUCCUCCCCUGCUAACUCGGGGCGGAGCGGCGGUCCUGACGCGCGGCCGCGGCUCCCCGAGAACGGCCCGGGCCGCCCCGGAGCACAAAGGCGCCGCCGAGGCCGCUCGGCGCCCUCCUCGCCUCCGCCAGUCGCCGACUUCGCGGACUGCCGGUUCCCGGGGAGGACGGGUUCCCGGGAGCUUCGUCGCCCGCCCCUCCCCGGCUUCUCCCCAAACUGCGGGGCUCGAGGGCGAGCCGGAGACCCGGCAGGCAGGACCCUGGGAGAGACGGAUGGAUGCCCGCGCCCGGGGCGCAGGGAAUCCGCAACGCUUUGCCCUCUGCUCAGCAGCAGCAGCAGGUGGGCGAGAGCCAGGCCUCGGACGUGGGCACGUCCUCGGCGCGGUCUCCCGGCCCCCGACCCCCACCGGCCGGCCAAGGAGGAGACGCUGGAGGCCCGGGACGGCGGGGUCGCCCGUCUCCGGCGCAGCGGUGGUGGGAACAGGGGCGCUACAGCCGAGAGAUCUCCGGCCGCCCGCGCCCCGCAGCCUUUCUUUCUUUCUCUCGGGGCCUGCCUUCGGCGGCUCGCCCCGCCAGGUCCGUGGUGGUGCAGGGUGCGGGCCCCCCGCCCCUUUUGUUCCACGAAGUCGCCUUCCCCUUCGCACGCACCCGCGCACCCGCCCAAGCGCCACGGCAAACACUCGGCCGAGCAGUGCCCAACCCAGCCACUGUUUGCUCAGCGAGGCGCUGGCGAGGCGGAGGCACACACAGCCGAGGCGCAGGCACGGCCCCUGCCCACCACAGAGCCUGGCCCACAAGUCGCCGACGCGCCGGGGUGGGCAGGGGCGCAGGGGACCCGGCCCCGCGUCGGGCACGCCGCCAGAGCUUCUGGGACCAAGCACUUCGUGGCCUUUUACAGCUGGGGCCGCUCGUAACCCAAGCCAAACUGUACCCGAAGUUCCUCGCAAUGACUUCGACGUGCGAGAUUCACUUUAUUCGCGGAGCUCCAGCCCCCACGCACCCACCCAGCCCACUGCCACCCGCUCGGGGCCGCGCCUCCACGCACGCGCGCUGGCCCCUCCCCUCCGCCCGCUCCCGGCUCCCAGGCUCCGCCCCUCACCUCCCCCCGCCCCCCAGCGGACCGAGCCUGGCCGCCUGCAUUCCCCAAGAACCUCUCGGGCCGCCCAGCCCCUUUCCUUACACUGCCUCCACCUGUGAUUGGACGCUGGCUCCCCUUGGCUCCGCCCCCCCAGCGGCCGGGCCCGCUUCCCUCCCUGUCCCAGCGCCCAAGGGGCGGGGCUGGGCGGGGCUUCGGUGGCGCUAUUGUCAUGGAGACGGGAAGCCGGCCGCACCGGCGGCGGGGACCUCGCGGGCCGAGGGGGGCUGCCAGCGGGCCGGGACUGAGGAGAGGCGGAGCGGCCCGGACCGCGGGAACGUGCGGGAACGCGGAGCCGGCUGGUGGCGGCCUCCACGGCGGCACCGUCGCGGGCCCAGUGUAGGCCCCCGCCCUGCUCCUCGCGGCCCCACCGCCCCUCAGUGCCCGCCCUCGGCUCCGCCCGCGGCCGCCGCCAGCGCCGCCGCAGCCCCUCGCGCUAACGGUCGGCAACGGCCCGCGUGCGCCGCCCGCCGGGGGCUCGCGCCUGCCACGAGGGAGCGUCCGCGGCCCGCGCGUCCGCGUCCGCGUCGCGGAGCAGAGAUCUCAUCAUUCUUGUGGGAGAGACACAACACCCACCCCGGGAAAGGCAACAGAUUGCUCCUGUCAUAUCGCCGGGGCUGUGUUGGAGUGUACUUAAAGGAUUAUGAUUGAUAAGGCUGUCUUGCCAGAGAAUGUUGACACAGGUGAUAAAUAUGAUGCGUCCAUAAUACACAUGGAGGUGCUCAGCUAAGUUCACUUCUGAACUGUGGGGUUGCUCCAGAUGUUGGUGAAAUCUGUCCUUACACAUCCCAAGUCCCAUCUGCAAAGCCUGCAGUCGCUAGCAAAGCCGCUGGGCCGGCUGUUGGAGCAGAAGGUUCUGGAGACAGCAGUGCUCAUGGUAGUGAUGAAUCGGUCUGAUGUUCUUGAAGAACAAGCUGGGUUCCAUUUGUGUCUGUCAGGGAGAAUUCUGUCUUCUCAUGGUGUAAUGGCACGUUGAAUAUGCAGAUUCAGCUGUCCAUCUCUGAGGUUUCCUGUGAUCUGUUUCAAUCUAACUGCAAAGGACGUGGAAGGAUCAAGUACCCAUGUGGUUUAAACAUGUUUUGAAGGCAGAAAGAAACAGAGAUACAGAGAGAGAACUUCAGCCUGCUGGUUCACUCCCCAAAUACAUCAGCAAGCACAAGGCCAGGUGAAGCCCAGGAGCCUCUUUAUUCCAGCUUCUUCCGUACUCAGUGCCUAAAACAGCAGAGUGGGAGAAGAUGUUCUGCUGCUGGGGAGCCAGUCCCGGGAAGCUGAGCCAGCUUGGUAGUAAGUGAGCAAGUAUAAAGUGAAUAAUUUGCCUGCUGAUCAGUUGGUGCAACUUGAAAUAGCCUUCCCCAGUGGAGUGCAAGGUGUGUAGCCCAUCCCAAGCACACUUUAAAUGUUCAUCAAAUCUUCAACCCUGACCUAUAUGAAACAGCGCGGAAGUUUCUUGCUAGUAAACUCUGCCGUAAUGUUACUUUGUAAUGUCAGCGUGGCCCUACAUGUGUUUUGAUGGGCCGAGGGUGUCUGGAGCCUGGAGAGGAGAGGUUGGCUGGUCCCAAACUGGCAGAAGUCCUGAGGCUUACAAGAUGUGCGUGUCCAUGCUGUCCAAGCUCCACGAUUCAGAGACCAUCGGGGGACAUGCAGACUUUGAUACCUAACCGAACAGCACAUCAGCUAAGCCGGUAGGCACUGAGGCAGACAUACAUGCCUGUUUCUGUGGUGAUAUCAUCUAUUAGAAUGGCCAUGUACAUUUAUCAACGUAAAACAGUGGUGUCACUAAAACCCUGCCAUAGCCAGUAUCAGGUGAAGAAAGUCUGCUAACAAUAUGUAUAGCCCUUUGUCAUCGCUCUCUGUCCCCAGGGGGCUCAUCCUCCACUUUUUCCCCAAGGCCACAAAUCAGGAUAGCCUUUGUUGGCCUGGCUGAUUGUGGUCACCUAGUAGAAAAGCUGUGACUCUGACGUGCUGGUGCUGCUCUGAGUGUCUUCCCAGUAGCCAAUCUUGUGUUCUGAAAGGCAACCUGAACAGGACAACGUCCACCCAGCAGCCCGUGCUCAGGGGCAGGGGCAGAGCGCGCGUUACAGCAUUCGGCAGGUUGCUUUCCUUAAAAUUCCCAAUUCUUCUCUUUGACUUUGUUAUAUUUUGUCUCUAAUUACCCCCAAGAAAAGUUGAUGUGAUUCUUGAAAUCUCUCAUUUCUCAUUUGUCUGACAGCCAAACAACUUGUAAAUUGUGUUUCAGUUCAACCCGCUAUGUCUUUAUGAUGCACAGUUGAAAACUGGAGGUGUGGAAUACUGCUGGCUCCCACAGUUGUGUGCCUCAGGUUUGUUCCCCUUCACUCAGUUCUCAUGAGUGCAGUGUAUGUAAGUUAGCACUUUUAUGUCUCUUUUCUCAGCCCUUAUCUUUGGACAUUGAGUUUUUCAUUUUGAAAGUCCAUUUUGAAUAAAUUUAUUUUCAAUUUUGAAGAGCAUGAGUUUAUCUUAGUUCAAUCGAAUGUUAUGUACUUUUUUGCUGAAUUGUUUACUAUGGGUUUGGUUAUUGGCCUAUUUUAUUUGUCAUUUUAUGGAAUACAUAUUUUCAGUGGAGACGCUUAGGCUAAGCUAUAUUUAUUUAUACCACAGUACAUUAACCAUAAAACUAUCUAACUACAGUAAAACCACAAUAAUCUGGAACCCUUAGGGAGUGGGUUAUUGAGGAUAGCCAAGUUUUAAGAAGUAACAUUAACUCUUUGUGAUGGCAGUUUUUCCAACAUGUGUCGUAUCUUUCCUUUUUAUCCCGCAUACAAUAUGCUGAGUCUCAUUCAGUUGUGAUAGGAAGAAGUACUCAUCAGUACGUUUAACUCAGUUCUCGUCGAAGGACUCAGGCUUUUUGUUUUGCUUUGCCUUGUUUUAGUUUAGGUUUGGCUUUCGUGUGCUUUGUGUUCAGUUCUAGUUCACGGUGGCAUUUCCUAACAUUUCUGUUUCUUCCGUUGUUGUCAGCUGUAUUUCUCACUGGCCCUACCUGUAGGGCUCCCUCUACCCUUCAAAUUGCUGCCUUUACGUGUCUGUGGACUUGGAGACCAGGUACAGGAGUUUGUUAGAAGACAGCCAGCGUGAGAAAGGGCUUCCAGAGCCUUCUGGGGGCCAGAUGUGCGGCUGUGCACCAACUUGCCAGCCGUUCUUGUCUCUGAGAAACCUUCCUCACCAGCAUGUCAGUUCUCUGUGGGCGUUAGCCAGCUGGGUGCUGAGAUGGGGAGAUCUGCUCUGCCUCUUCCCCUCUUCCCCUUAACAUUCCUCUCCACUGCUUGGCACUUCAGAGGGCUAAUUGUAGCCAUGCUGGGGUAGCCGAGGGCCUUGAAGGUGAGGCCUAAGGGAGCUAGUUGCACACACCUUAGAAUAGAGAAUCAGGUAGAAAGCAGGCCUCAUUUUAAGUUAACUGUUACAGAAUGCCCAUAUUAUGAUAACAUCUUGCUAAUGCCCCUUCUCUUCUUUAUCCUACUAAUUCUUUUUCCUUUUUAAAUUAAUAAGCCCUAAACACAUGUUCAUUUGGCUUGUAAUUUACUAGAAUUAAAACUAACGCUUAAUUUGAAAAGGGCAUCUCUAGUCAAAACCCAGCACCCUCAGUGAUUCAUUUUUUUGUUGUGCAUGUAAUUAGGGCUGCAUUGCAUACUUUCUUUACCCAAGGUGCUUUGCACACUACUGAUGACAGGUGCUUGGGUAAAGGUGCUGGCAGCGGACCGUUGGGCUGCAAGCUCUGGGAGGCUGAUGUUUGCAAGCUGCUUCAGCUUCUCCAGCGUUUCCAUGGUCGUUUUGCCUUGGAUCUCCAGAGCAACCUGGGCAUUACGGGGCCCCUCAUGUCACAGCCAGGACCCCAGAGGUGCAGAGUUGUGGAGUGACUCACCCAAGUCCCACUGCUGUCAGCAAGCUCGAGUUUGGGCCCAGAUCCUCUGCUUCCAAGGCCAGUGGAGUUUCCCACUCGUCCUCAGAACUCGUGCUGGUGGGGUAGUGAGUGAAUCCUAGCGCUGGCUGUCCAGAUUGGGGCUGCCAGCCCCUAGAGGACAUGGCGAGCCAGGCCACCCAGAAAGAAGAGGAGCUCGAUGACAGGGCAUGUGACCCCAAGGGGACGACGCCUCAUCAUCCCCAACAACUUGGCAUCCUGCUGCUGCCGCCGCCAUCACAGGUAGAGGGUGGACACUGCCACAGGGAUCUGACGACCAGCUCCACCUGGGCAACAAGGUGCACCGAUUGGGGGCUCUGGGGCUGCAUGCAAUGCUCUGUCACUAUGGGGAGUGCUCGGUGUCCAGGGAGCUCGGUGUGCUUUCGUUUACUGUGUUUGAGAAGCACAUUAGUCGCCAAUGAAGUUACUGUUUUUCAAAACUGUACAGAAAUGGGAAUAACUUCUGAUCAUUUCUUAAUACAAACAAUAUCUGUUUAGAUUUUAAAAUAUAACACUUUUUGUUUUGGCCUGGAUGAAGUCAUUGGCAAAACGAGUCUAACUGGAUUUAAUUUGUGAUUUAUAAAUUCUGAGUUACUGUUUUAAGAAUUGUUGAUUAUAGUGGGUUGUAUAAAGCCAGUGUUUUUGAAGAGCCAUUAAGCCCUUACAUGCCAUAUAGAUUAAUAAAUACAUUUUAAGCAAA